AUUGAACGCUGGCGGCAUGCCUUACACAUGCAAGUCGAACGGUAACAGGUCUUCGGAUGCUGACGAGUGGCGAACGGGUGAGUAAUGCAUCGGAACGUGCCCAGUUGUGGGGGAUAACUGCUCGAAAGAGCAGCUAAUACCGCAUACGACCUGAGGGUGAAAGCGGGGGAUCGCAAGACCGCGCGCAAUUGGAGCGGCCGAGGUCAGAUUAGGUAGUUGGUGGGGUAAAGGCCUACCAAGCCGACGAUCUGUAGUUGGUCUGAGAGGACGAUCAGCCACACUGGGACUGAGACACGGCCCAGACUCCUACGGGAGGCAGCAGUGGGGAAUCUUGCGCAAUGCGCGAAAGCGUGACGCAGCAACGCCGCGUGGGGGAAGACGGCCUUAGGGUUGUAAACCCCUUUCAGGAGGGACGAAGGUCGGCGCGUUAAUAGCGUGUCCGACUGACGGUACCUCCACAAGAAGCCCCGGCUAACUACGUGCCAGCAGCCGCAGUAACAC
rnacentral:rRNA from 1 species